GGGGAAUGCGUAUAGUAAUUACGUAAACAGGGAAAAAGCUAGUAAUCUUUUAAAAAAAAGCAAUUUUUACACUUGUGAACGUAGUAGCGCUUAUGAAUGAGAGAGAACGAGUUCAAGAUUAUUCAACUGAGUGGCGAGAAAAUCAGUGCAGAUCAGUUCGAUGUGAACUAAACUUAGUUUAUUUUUUGUUAGUCGUUUUUGAUUCGAUCAUGUGUUUUAUUUGAAGAAAAGAAAAAAAAAAUUAAAAAAAAAUAGAGUAAUAGUUUAGAAAUAAUCGAACUAGUUGCGCGCUUUUAUUAGUGACUGUAGCUGAAAAUGUGAGUUAUCAGUAAACAUCUAAAGUUGAUAGCAGCGAAAAGAGCACGCAAGAAGAGACAGAGACGUCGAGUUAGCUCUUCAGGACAAUUGCAACAACUCUCGAUAAACAUUUGCUUUGCAGAAGUCCCGCGAAAGUUGUCCUUUUCAUCGUAUUUUGGCAACCAGUUCAAUGAAUUUUUGUGUAAUUUGAGAAUAUUACACGAAUAAGUUAGCAAAGCCCGUGGUAUCUAAAUGUACAUUGUCGGGAGCUUGCUUCCUUCAGGUAAACAAUGUUCGGCGCUGUUUAUCUACAAUGAACUUUUAAUAAUUAUGCGCCUGUACAUACCAUAUUAUUUACACGUUAUGGUAAUAAAAUAAAAUACAAUAAAAUAUAAUCAUUUCAUCCACAUGUAUGGAAAAAAAAUAUUUUGUUUGAUUUUUUUUUUACAUUUACAUACAACAUUUUUACUGCAGCUAUCGAAUAUGCUUACAUUGAUGGUAAUUGACAUUUAUACCAAAUAUUUCAUAAACAUCCAUCUGUGUCUUUUAUCGCGAAAUCUUUUCAUUAUGUAUAUAUGAAGAGCUAAUUUGUAGAUAGUCAAUUUUCUGGUGGAAUUGUUUGAAAUUAGAUUUUUUUUAUUCAUGCAAAAUUUAUUUUUGUUUAAUCACGAACUAUUGUAAAUAAUCAAGAAAUAGGCUGUUUCGUGCAGAACUUUUCAAUAACUAAAUGAUUUUUUUUAACAAAUUGACAAAAUCACAUACGCAGAAAUAAAUGUCAAAUUACGUUCCGUGUGCAAUUUGUAGUAAUUAAUUAAUAAUGUACAAUAAUAAUAAAAAAAAUGUACUAAA